rnacentral:lncRNA from 1 species
AUUAAACUGUCAGUGCAAACUUGGUAGUUUGAUAUCUAAUAAACAACCUAUUUGUCAUGUUUGUUACCGCAAAAGGAAGGGAGGCGUUGUUCUUGGCAAGUUCCAUGCCGCAUGGGAAGUGGCAUGGAGCCUUUUUAGGUACGUAGUUGGUCCCUUAGUGUGAUUCUAAAACAAAUUAGAAUAAAAAAACAUAUGAGAUGGGCACUAAAAAAAAAAAUGGAAUGGAAUUUCUAUUUUAUUAUAUUUUCUCUCAUGCCAAUCUUAAUUUAUAAGUCUAAAACUCU